rnacentral:rRNA from 1 species
UACGUAGGGUGCAAGCGUUAAUCGGAAUUACUGGGCGUAAAGCGUGCGUAGGCGGUGAGUUAAGUCUGUCGUGAAAUCCCCGGGCUCAACCUGGGAAUGGCGAUGGAUACUGGCUCGCUAGAGUGUGAUAGAGGAUGGUGGAAUUCCCGGUGUAGCGGUGAAAUGCGUAGAGAUCGGGAGGAACAUCAGUGGCGAAGGCGGCCAUCUGGAUCAACACUGACGCUGAGGCACGAAAGCGUGGGGAGCAAACAGG